UAGUGGUAUAGAAAUGCACCUAAUUCCACACAGGUGGUUGUCAGGUGAGAAGUUCCGGUUGUUAAGGUGGGCGUGGUAUAUAAGGAGCUGCGGCGUUCAUUCAGGAUGUGUCGUCUUUGCUCUUCCACUGUGUGGCUUGCAUCCUGUGGACUCUGGCAGCGGAAAGUAACAAAAUCUCUGGCUGGCUGGUGCGUGCUACACUAAGAUCCUGGUGGUAGGUGUUCUCUCUCCCUGCACUUCAGCUGAUCUUGGCCAGAAAAUCUAAAUUGAAUUGUGAUUAUAGGUAAAGCGCCACUGCGCUCCGCUCCUUCUCUUCCUCCUUCUGCGAGUGUGUGUGUGCGUGUUUGGAUCGGCAGGUCCCCCCACAGUUGGACCAUUGCUGCUCUGUUCUGCUCGGAUCUACUCUGCUUUGCUCUGUUCUGCUCGGAUCUACUCUGCUUUGCUCUGUCUGCGUUCGUUUCCCGGAUCUGUCAGUCGGCGUUCGUUUUCCUGGACUUCCAUCUCAGUCGUUUUUAAAGUUGGACUGCGGCGGUAUUAUCCGCCUCCAUCCAUGUUUGGGGUGUGGCAUCGGCGCACCCCUUUCACCUCCUGUUGUGGCAUGACAAGCGGGCCACGCAUGGUCCUGAUGUUUUAACUUGCAUUGGCUAUUGUUAAUUUCUAUUACUUUACUUAUUUUGCUUACGGCCCUUUUUGUCUUUUAUUUAGUUGGGCUGAUAUUGUUUUUUUUCUAAUUAGGUUUAAGAUUGUUAUCUUGGUUAACUGUUUUUCUUUUGUUGUUUUGCAGUUGCUGAGGUCCGGUGGYGGUGUUGGUGUGGUGACGGUGUCUUCCUCUUCUGCGUGCUGUGAUUCUUGAGUUUGGGUUGUCUCACUGCGUCUGGUGUGUCAAAGGGUUUUUUUGUUUGUUUGCUGUGUUUGGUGGAUUCCGUCCCUAUAGCGCCCCCUCUGGCCGGUAACUUCAGCUACUGCACUUACUUUGAUUUUCUUUGUUUUCCUUUGUGUCCCAUUCUUAAAGAAACUGGUUUUAAAAAGUGUUUUAAAAAGAGCUUAAUAAAUGGUUGUUUUAUAAAUUUGAAACUGUCUCAGAUGUGCUAAAUUCAUGCAUAACUGAACCUGUGUGCCUUAUACCAAAAGAAAAUAUUCUCUGGGUGAAAUUCCCAGGGUGGCGUUGUUGUGCAACCUAUUAAAACUAAAAGUUCACCAAAUCUGAGUUUCCGUCUAGUAUCGCCACA